AAAAAUACAAAUGCUCUAAAGCACCAGAUCCCAUCUGCCUUUGGAAGCUAAGCAGGGUCAGCCCUGGUUAGUACUUGGAUGGGAGUCCGCAACCCACCCCAAGUGUCCUGGGCUCUGUUUAUA
rnacentral:rRNA from 11 species